UUGCUUCUCUUGAGAGCGGCGGACGGGUGAGUAAUGCCUAGGAAUCUGCCUGGUAGUGGGGGAUAACGUUCGGAAACGGACGCUAAUACCGCAUACGUCCUACGGGAGAAAGCAGGGGACCUUCGGGCCUUGCGCUAUCAGAUGAGCCUAGGUCGGAUUAGCUAGUUGGUGGGGUAAUGGCUCACCAAGGCGACGAUCCGUAACUGGUCUGAGAGGAUGAUCAGUCACACUGGAACUGAGACACGGUCCAGACUCCUACGGGAGGCAGCAGUGGGGAAUAUUGGACAAUGGGCGAAAGCCUGAUCCAGCCAUGCCGCGUGUGUGAAGAAGGUCUUCGGAUUGUAAAGCACUUUAAGUUGGGAGGAAGGGCCAUUACCUAAUACGUGAUGGUUUUGACGUUACCGACAGAAUAAGCACCGGCUAACUCUGUGCCAGCAGCCGCGGUAAUACAGAGGGUGCAAGCGUUAAUCGGAAUUACUGGGCGUAAAGCGCGCGUAGGUGGUUUGUUAAGUUGGAUGUGAAAUCCCCGGGCUCAACCUGGGAACUGCAUUCAAAACUGACUGACUAGAGUAUGGUAGAGGGUGGUGGAAUUUCCUGUGUAGCGGUGAAAUGCGUAGAUAUAGGAAGGAACACCAGUGGCGAAGGCGACCACCUGGACUGAUACUGACACUGAGGUGCGAAGC
rnacentral:rRNA from 1 species